rnacentral:rRNA from 1 species
CAGCCGCCACGGGAAUACGUAGGUGGCAAGCGUUAUCCGGAAUUAUUGGGCGUAAAGCGCGCGUAGGCGGUUUCUUAAGUCUGAUGUGAAAGCCCACGGCUUAACCGUGGAGGGUCAUUGGAAACUGGGAAACUUGAGUGCAGAAGAGGAAAGUGGAAUUCCAUGUGUAGCGGUGAAAUGCGCAGAGAUAUGGAGGAACACCAGUGGCGAAGGCGACUUUCUGGUCUGUAACUGACGCUGAUGUGCGAAAGCGUGGGGAUCAAACAGGAUUAGAUACCCCUGUAGUCCCUGUCUCUUAUAC